CUGUAGUUCCUCUAGAUAAAC
rnacentral:siRNA from 1 species